UACAGAGGGGGCAAGCGUUGUUCGGAAUUACUGGGCGUAAAGGGCGCGUAGGCGGCCAACUAAGUCAGACGUGAAAUCCCCAGGCUCAACCUGGGAACUGCGUCUGAUACUGGAUGGCUCGAGUUCGGGAGAGGGAAGUGGAAUUCCCAGUGUAGCGGUGAAAUGCGUAGAUAUUGGGAGGAACACCAGUGGCGAAGGCGGCUCACUGGACCGGUACUGACGCUGAAGCGCGAAAGCGUGGGGAGCAAACGGG
rnacentral:rRNA from 1 species